rnacentral:rRNA from 1 species
CGGCGUGCUUCAUACAUGCAAGUCAAGGAGAACGUAACCUUCGGGUUAUUACUAAACUGGCGAACGGGUGAGUAACGCGUGGGCAACCUGCCCUAGAGAUUGGGAUAACUUCGGGAAACUGGAGCUAAUACCGAAUAAUGCAGCGGAUCCUUCGGGAUACAGUUGUUAAAGCGGGCUUCGGCUCGCGCUUUAGGAUGGGCCUGCGUCCGAUUAGCUUGUUGGUAAGGUAAAGGCUUACCAAGGCAAUGAUCGGUAGCUGGUCUGAGAGGAUGAUCAGCCACACUGGGAUUGAGAUACGGCCCAGACCACCACGGUGGGCAGCAGUAAGGAAUUUUGCGCAAUGGGGGAAACCCUGACGCAGCAACGCCGCGUGACCGAUGAAGCUUCUAGGAGCGUAAAGGUCUGUCGUAAGGGAAGAAAAGUUUAGAUAUAAAUAAUAUUUGAGCCUGACGGUACCUUACAAGAAAGCACCGGCUAACUUCGUGCCAGCAGCCGCGGUAAUACGAGGGGUGCGAGCGUUGUCCGGAAUCACUGGGCGUAAAGGGUCCGUAGGCGUUUCAACAAGUCAUUUGUUAAAGACAUCGGCUUAACCGAUGGAGUGCAUUUGAAACUUUUGAAAUAGAGUAUAGGAGAGGAAAGUGGAAUUCCUGGUGUAGCGGUGACAUGCGUAGAUAUCAGGAGGAACACCAAUGGCGAAGGCAACUUUCUGGCCUAUUACUGACGCUGAGGGACGAAAGCGUGGGGAGCGAACAGGAUUAGAUACCCUGGUAGUCCACGCCGUAAACGAUGAGUACUUGGUGUCGGGGGAUUCGACCCCCUCGGUACCGGAGCUAACGCAUUAAGUACUCCGCC